CGGGGCGUAGCUCAGCCUGGUAGAGCGGCUGCUUUGGGAGCAGCAGGCCGCUGGUUCGAAUCCAGUCGCCCCGACCA
rnacentral:tRNA from 1 species